UCCAAGGGUUCCUGCUCAACGCUAAUCGGAGCAGGGUUAGUCGGCCCCUAAGGCGAGGCCGAAAGGCGUAGUCGAUGGGAAACAGGUUAAUAUUCCUGUACUUGGUGGUAGUGACGGAUGCCGUGUGUUGUAUCUCCUUAUUGGAUUGGGGGUGCAGCGAAGGUGUUCCAGGAAAUAGCUCCACCGUAUAAACCGUACCCGAAACCGACACAGGUGGACUGGUAGAGCAUACCAAGGCGCUUGAGAGAACUCGGGUAAAGGAACUAGGCAAAAUGGUGCCGUAACUUCGGGAGAAGGCAC
rnacentral:rRNA from 1 species